UGGGGUGUGGCUCAGUGGUAGAGCACCUGCCUAGAAUCCCCCAGUGAAGGACAAGAGACAUGGUUUGCAGUAGGGUACUUGCAUAGCAUAUGCAAGAACUGGGUUCCAUCUCCAGCACCUUAA
rnacentral:tRNA from 1 species